CUUUCAAAUAAUUAAGUUUUAGCCAUCCUUCUGGGUACUCUAAGAGACCUUGGAUAUCAUCUCACUUGUUCAUUCUACAAUGAGAUAACAGAUUCAUAGGUGAGGUGGCUGCCCCAAGUCAAAGCCCAUUAGGAGCACGCCUCCUAAUCCAAGGGACAGUAUUCAAAUUAGGUCACACAAGAGAUCUUCUGCUCUUUGACAGAAAGUGGGGCUUAAAUCUUACUGCCCCAACAGAGUACUUAGGGUCUCUCAUUUUGGAUAUCUCCUAUAUGUCCCAAAUACCAAUACUAUCUAGUAAUAGGGAAUGGGGCCAUUGCCCCAUUGUUUCGGUUUAUCUAAAACUAUGCAGCAAACCUUCAGGACCUAACUCAAUUUCUGUUUCUUAGAAAAUAUUUUUAAUUGCCCUACUGCAUCCAAAUCUCCACUUAAUUCUUAACUCAUAAACAUUAUUAUUUGAAACAUACAAUUAGCAAUCAGAGAAUGGUGUGAAACAUUUUAUAGCUAUAUCAAUUUGUGAGUCCCUUCUACCCACUGGUGUAAACUCCAGGAAGACAGGAAUUAAGUGGUUGAUUUCUGCAGGAGGUUCCCAGUAGAUGAUUGUGGGUGGAUUGGAUUAAGCUGUGCCAAUCUGAAAAGAAAAGAAAACUGAUUUUAUUUUAUUGGUACCAGGAAUUUAACCUAGGGGCACUUCUACAUCCCCAGGCCCCUUUUUAAAUUUUUUAAUUUUAUUUAGAGAUAGCAUCUCACUGAGUUGCUUAGGGCCUCAAUAAGUUGCUAAGGCUGGCUUUGAAUUUGUGAUCCUCCUGCCUUAGCCUCCUUAUAUGCUGGGAUUACAAGCAUGUACCACCGUGCCCAACAGAAAACCCGAAUAUAGAUGGGAGCUCUUCAGAGCGUUUCUCUGUGCCUCCCAGUAGAGCUAUCUGUUGGCUCACGGAGCACUGGAAUCGAUGGAGAUUAUGGCUAUCUCAUGUUUGCUGAGAACUAAGUGUGAUCCUUCCCUUAUUGAACUUACCAUGGCAUUAAUUACACCUUCAAUUGGGUGAUUGUUUGAUCACAACUUAUCUUUCUUUCUCCCUUCCACCCCUAACAAACUGGAAAUUCCAUGAGAACAUGGACCACAUCUGGUUUGACUCACCAUUGAGUGAGUCUCUAACACCAUUCCUGACACAUACAAAGUGCUCAGGAAAUAUUUGUUAAAGGACUGGAUGAAUGACCGUAACCAUCUUAUUUUAUAGCUGAGGAAGCAGAGACCCAAAGAGAUCAUGCUCACUAGUGGCAGAGCUGGGGUGAGAAGGCAGGUCUCCUUCUUCCCUGGCCAGCCAGCAUCCUACGCCUCUGUGUCCUCUCAGUGUUGGAGUUGGAAAGACCUUGGAGUCUAGUUCACUCCUUUAAUUUUAUAAACGAGAAACUGAGGCCCAGAGGGAAGAAGGACUAACCCAAGAUCACAGAAAGAGGCCCUGGCUGAGCCAAGCCUGGUACCUAGGUCUUCUGACUCCCAAGCCAGUGCUCUUUCUUUGUAAAAGAGAAGAAAAAACAAAGCUGCCUUGGGCUUCUUGCCAGGCCCCUGCAGGAGGUCACAUAGCCGAGCAGCUCUCAGAGUUCCUUGUCUAUUCUUAGCCUGAACUCUUAGUGACUCUGUUCUUCAGCAGACUUUUUUUUCCUCCUUUUUCCUUUGCAUUUGGUUUGUUGUGUAUAUGUGGUAUGUGUUUUAAAUAAAGGGUGCUACGUGUAGGAAACCGGCUUCAGCACAGUCCUGCGAGACCAAGGCCCUGAAAAGAAAAAACUUGAGAGAAAGGGCCCUGAGAAAACAAUCAGCUUCCCUUCCUCCAAAGUGACCCCCGUGUCCUAGAGCUGCCCUCUCUGCUGCCUAUCACCACUGCCAACCCAAGGCUAAACCCUUCACACAAUAAGGAGGAAAUCGCCAGAAAGAAUUUGCAAAGAGGAUUGCUGUUAGUGUUGGCCACUGCUGUCUCGUUUUGAUGCAGACUGAAAAUCAGCUUUUCCCAAGCUGUCGAUCUUGUAUCACUCACUUCAGUUGCCCACUUACAAGUCAUUCAUCAGCUACCCAAUAUGAAUAAAAAGCCCCUUUCUACUAUUCUGAUCUCUCAAAGCCUGCCUCUUUUUCUGCUUGCUCAGAUAUCUACCCCUGAACAGGAACACAAAAAAAUUUAAGCUGCUACUGAAACACAGAGGAUGGAAGGAAAGUGAUGCUGCCAAAGUGCCAAAUGAC
rnacentral:lncRNA from 1 species